UGGGGAAUCUUGCACAAUGGAGGAAACUCUGAUGCAGCGACGCCGCGUGAGCGAUGAAGCCCUUCGGGGUGUAAAGCUCUUUCGGCAGGGAAGAUUAUGACGGUACCUGCAGAAGCAGCUGCGGCUAACUACGUGCCAGCAGCCGCGGUAAUACGUAGGCAGCAAGCGUUGUUCGGAGUUACUGGGCGUAAAGGGUGCGUAGGCGGCUUUUUAAGUUUGGUGUGAAAUCUCCCGGCUCAACUGGGAGGGUGCGCCGAAUACUGAGAGGCUAGAGUGUGGGAGAGGAAAGUGGAAUUCCUGGUGUAGCGGUGAAAUGCGUAGAUAUCAGGAGGAACACCGGUGGUGUAAACGGCUUUCUGGACCAUAACUGACGCUGAGGCACGAAAGCGUGGGUAGCAAACAGGAUUAGAUACCCCCGUAGUCC
rnacentral:rRNA from 1 species